CCUACGGGAGGCAGCAGUGGGGAAUAUUGGGCAAUGGGCGCAAGCCUGACCCAGCAACGCCGCGUGAAUGAAGAAGGCUUUCGGGUUGUAAAGUUCUUUUAUCAGGGACGAAGCAAGUGAGGGUACCUGAUACAUCAACCACGGCUACCUGCGGACCAGCAGCCGCGGUAAUACGUAGGUGGCAAGCGUUAUCCGGAUUUACUGGGUGUAAAGGGCGUUUAGGCGGGAGGGUAAGUCAGAUGUGAAACCUCCGGGCUCAACCCAGAGCCUGCAUCUGAAACUGUCCUUCUUGAGUGGUGGAGAGGGAAGCGGAAUUCCGGGUGUAGCGGUGAAAUGCGUAGAGAUACGGAGGAAUACCAGUGGCGAAGGCGGAUUGCUGGACAGUAACUGACGCUGAGGCGCGAAAGCGUGGGGAGCAAACAGGAUUAGAUACCCUAGUAGUC
rnacentral:rRNA from 1 species